GGGAAAGAACCUAUAACAAAAAAUUGAGUGGCAGAUCGGGUCGAAGCCCCCGAAUCCCAGACAACAGGGAUCACGGCAGGCGUAUUUCCUUCUGGAGAACAAUUUAAAAGUGGUACUAAUAAAGGCGACUGUAAUGAGAGGUCAAAAUACUGAGGCUACAGAGAGGUGUGAGACACGGGCUUUGCUCUAGAGCAGCCCACGAGGCAUCGGAGUCGGACAUCUACACAGAAGCGGUAGCAGGUGUGCGCGGGGAAAUGCCUCCCCGGGACGCAGGCGCCCAGGAGGGAGAGGCGCGGAAGCUUCCAGACCUGGGACCGUCCGCAGCGCAGCGUGGGGGCUGGGCGUGGCCGGCCUGCUCGGUGUCGUCAUCCCCUGCAGCCUGGAGUAACUGUCUUUCUUCCUUUGGGCACAGGGAAGUGUGCAAAAGUAGCUCAGGAACUGGGAAGUGUCGGACAGCCGUAUUCUCAGUGCACCCGGGAAGGGGCUUGGCCCCGAUGUUGCCACAUGAGCCGCUUCAAAUGAGGUCUAAUGGGAGUGACCCCAUAAUCAGGGCCUGACUAACUGCGGCUCCCCGAGCCCCUUGCAUCACCUGUGGCAGGGCGGCGGUCAUCUUCCUCGAGUCAGCGACAUGAUAAGCACAGUCCCGGAGACGAGCAGGCGCUGGGGAGCUGCUUGUUUGUUGCUCAUGUCUUUUAAAAAAUGUUUUAUUGAUUUGUUUUUGUAUUCAGUUGGAAGAAAGAGACACAGACAUACAGGGAGAGAGCUCCCUUCUGCUGGUUCACUCCCCAAAUCCCACAUCAGCCAGGCUCAAAGCCAGGAGCUUCUAACGUAAAAGGAGGGAACCCAAGCACCCGGACCACCACCUGCCAGCCUUCUAGGGUCACGUGAGCAGAAAGCUAGACGUGCUUGCGUCUUUGUAAUUUUUAUUUUAUUUCCAUGUCUUUCUAUUUUAAAUGAUCUCCAUGAAAUCUUUCCAGGCACACCCCAGGGAAAAGUCAUCAUUUCUUCUGAGUUCCUUCAGGACUUGAGUGUGGUCUCAGUGAGAGGAGCAGGGUUUGGCUAUAAAUUACACAACCCCUUUCAGCCUCUGGUUUUCAGCUCUGAAAGGGGAGCGGUGACUCCCGCGCACAGAAUCAUGUGAUCACGUGUGCCCUCCCUCUGUGCUGCUUGGCGCCAGCUAGUGCGUCCAGGUGGAGGGAGUGUGGAGUUCCUGGAAGGAAGCAGCUUAGUCAUGCCAAGUAGCAUCGCCUCCUCGUGGGCAGCAAGGCACUGGGGUGGGUGCCAAAUGUUGAAUGGAACUUGCGUCUUACCUCAGUGUCCUCCCCAUGUGCACUUCUUGUUUUUCCAGGAAAUGGCUGCUCAAGGACUUGUUCUCAGGAGGACAGGUGCUACACAGCACCUACCUUCCCCCUGGUGCAUUCAUUCCACAAAUAUUUAUUGAGCACAUUUGACAUUUGCCCUGGCCUGCUCUGUCGGGCCUAGAGACCCACCCCUCCCAGGUGCCCUCACAGGCUGAGUUUAUGGUCUCUUGUAUUUUUGUUUCUAUCUCAGAUCAUAUAUUUUUUCCAAAGUGAUUACAGUCUACCCAAGUUAACACAAUAAGAAAGUCUCCUUGGCUCUAUUUUGUUUCUUCAAUGAAGACUUUAUUACCCAGCAAUUAAAACCAUUGAGGAUGGUGCUGUGGCACAGCAGGUUAAAGCCAAGGCCUAUAACGCCGGCAUCUCAUACGGCCUCUGGUUCAAGUCCAGGCUGCUCUACUUCUGACCUGCACCCUGCUGAUGCACCUGGGAAGGCUGUAGAAGAUGGCCCGAGUCCCUGGACCCCUGCACCUGCGUGAGAGACCCAGAGGAAGCUCCUGGCUCCUGGCUUCGGAUUGGCCUAGCCCCUAGCCAUUGCAGUCAUUUGGGGAGUGUAACUCUGCCUUUAAAAUAAAGAAAUAAAUCUUUAAAAAGAGCCAAGAAUGUAUUUUUCUACAUAAUUUACUGUGAGGCUAUUAGCUUCAUUGCAUAGAGGGUUAAUUUUCACCACUUGCUGUUUUCCUUCCACAGUCUUGCACACCACACUUUUAAAUUUCCUUUUUAUAAGCUUUUUAAAAAUUUAUUAUUUGAAAAGCAGAGUUAGAGAGAGGCAGAGGCAGAGAUCUUCCAUGCGCUGGUUCACUCCCCAAAUGCCUGCAGUGUUGGCAUCCCAUUUGGGCACUGGUUGGAGUGCUAGCUGCUCCACUUCUGAUCCAGCUCUCUGCUAUGGUCUCGGAAAGCAGUAGAAGAUGGCUCAAGUCCUUGGGCCCCUGCAUCCAUGUGGGAGACCCAGGAAGAAGCUCCUGGUUCCUGGCUUUGGCCUGGCACAGCCCCAGAUGUUGUGGCCAUUUGGGGAGUGGACCAGCUAAUGGAAGAUCCCCCCCAACCCUCUCUCUGUAACUCUGCCUUUCAAAUAAAUAAAUGAAUAAAUCUUAAAAAAAAAAAAAAAAAGGACAGAGAAUCCAUCCACUGAUUCACUCUCCAAAUGCCCACAAAAGCUGGGCCUGUGCCAGGCUGAAGCCAGGAAGGAGCCAUGUGAAUGACAGGGACGCGAGUAAUUGAGCCAUCACCUGCUGCCUCCCCGGUGUGCGUUAGCAGGAAGCUGGAGUCAGAAGUACACCCAGGGGAGGGAGGCAUUACAGCCUCCACUUGGAAUGCCCACGUCCCACGCUGGAGCGGCUGGUUCAAGUCUCAGCUAUUCCACUUCUGAUCCAGCUUCCUGCUAAUGUGCCUAGGAGUCAAAAAAGAUGGCUCGAAUGCAUGAGUCCCUGCCCCCUAUCUAAGAGACCUGAAUGGAGUUUCCAUUUCCUGGCUUCAGCCUGGUCCAUCCCUGGUUGUUGAGGGCAUGUGGGAAGUGAACCUGCAGAUGGAAGCUCUCUGCCUCUUUCUGUGUAACUCUGCCUUUGAAAUGAAUAAAAACAAAUCUUUUUUAAAAAGUAAUGGUUCCUGGGGCUGGCACUGUGGCUCAGUGGUUUAACGCCCUGGCCUGAAGCACCGGCAUCCCAUAUGGGCGCCGGUUCCAGACCCAGCCAUUCCACUUUCGAUCCAACUCUCUGCUAUGGUCUGGGAAAGCAGUAGAAGAUGGCCCAAGUCCUUGGGUCCCAGCACCCACUUGGGAGACCUGGCUUCAGAUCGGCACAGCUCUGGCCAUUUCUGUCAUCUGGGGAGUGAACCAUCGGAUGGAAGACCUCUCUCUCUGUCUCUUUCUGCCUCUCUUCUCUCUCUAACUCUGACUUUCAAAUAAAUAAAUCUUUAAAAAGAAAAAAGAGAGAGAGAGGCGAAGCCUAUGGCCUCACAAAGACUUGGUGUUGACAGCACCAUUGCUCAUAGUCAGAAGGCAGAAGCAAUCGAGUUCCGGGGACUGGUGAACGAAUCAGUGACCUGUGGUGUUUCACGUGAUGGAACGCUAUUCAGCAAGAAAAGGGAACAGAACACUGGCACAGGCUGCGGAACCUCAGAACCAAUACGGCCAGGGAAAGCAGGCAGACACAGAGGAGCACGCAGUGUGCAAUUCUGUUCCUGCGAAAUCCUCGCACAGGCCAAUCUGCACGCCUGGGGCUGGAGUGGGAACGGUGACUACCUGUUGCACAACUCAGUAAAUUUGAUAACAAUCAUGGCAUGGCACACUUGAAAGGAAAUCGCUGUGUGGUAUGUGAAUUACGCCUCAGCCAAGCUGGAAAACAUUUUUACUGCUUUUGUCGGAGCUGAGCUACUGCUUCAAAACUCUUUCUACUACAUACGUGACGGCGGUGAGAAUGCUCUAACACGCUGGGCAGACAGAACGUGAGCAUUUCCAAAUGCUAAACACAGUCGCAGAGGCCACUGUGUCUGUCGGCCCCACCGGGCCCGAGCAGAGCGGGAGUCACAGGUGCUGAGCGCCAUACCACUGGACUGAACCUUUAAGGAAGCAGCUGACUCCCGAAUGGAACAGUGUUCCUGGAGAACAGAAGAUUCCAGACCACCUGAGUCAGUGCAAUCACCCUCGCCAAAAGAUGAUUCCAAAACAGAAGUGACAGAAGGCAAAAAGGCAAACUGGACUUCAUCAGAACGAAAGCUGGAGAAUGGGGCCGGCCUUGGGCACAAUGGUUACGAUGCCACUUGGGACACCUGUGUCCCAUAGAGGGAUGCCUGUGGUUCAAGUACCAGCUCCACUCCUGUUUCCUGCUUCCUGUUUAUGUGCACCUGGGCAGGCAGCACUGGCGCCUGCACUGGGGUCCCUGCCAACCACGUCGGAGGCCAGGAUUGAGUUCUGGGUUCCUGGGAGCCAGCGCUGUACCAUGGAAGGGUAAGUCGCUGCCUGCCAUGCUGGCAUCCCAUCUGAGCACCUGUUGGAGUCCAGGCUGCUCCACUCCUGGCCAAUGAGCCUGGGAAAGCAGCACAAGAUGGCCCAAGUGCUUGGCCCCUGACACCCUCAUGGGAGACCCAGAUGGAGUUCCAGGCUCCUGGCUUCAGCCUGGUCCAGCCCUGGCCAUUGCAGCCAUUUUGAGGUGUGAACAAGCAAAUGGAAGAUGUGUCUCUCUCUCUCUCUGCCUUUUUUUUUUUUUUUAAGAUUUUUAUUUAUUUAUUUGAAAGGAGAGGCAGAGAGAGAGAGGUUUCCAUCUGCUGGUUUGCUCCCCAAUUGGCCGCAACAGCCGUAGCUGUGCCAAUCCAAAGCCAGGGGUCAGGAGCUUCUUCUGGGUCUCCCACAUGGAUGCAGGGGCCCAAGCACUUGAACCAUCUUCUACUGCUUUCCCAGGCCAUAGCAGAGAGCUGGAUCGGAAGUGAAGCAGCCUGGACUCGAACCAGCACCCAUAUGGGAUGCCGGCAGUACAGGCAGCAGCCUUACCCACUACGCCACAGUGCUGGCCCCUCCCUCUGCCUUUCAAUUAAAUAAAUAAAUCUCUAAAAAAGAGAGAGAGAGAGAGGUAGAAACAGAGAGAGGGCCAGUGCCACAGUUCAUUAGGCUAAUCCUCCGCCUGUGGCACCGGCACACCAGGUUCUAGUCCCAGUUGCAGUGCUGGAUUCUGUCCUGGUUGCUCCUCUUCCAGUCCAGCUCUCUGCUGUAGCCCGGGAGUGCAGUGGAGGAUGGCCCAGGUCCUUGGGCUCUGCACCUGCAUGGGAGACCAGGAGGAAGUGUUGAAAUGAAAAAAUAUCUAUAUCUAUACUAUAUCUACAUCUAUAUCUAUAACUAGCGGAUGCUGAAUAUCAAUUGCUUUUUGCUUCUGUACUGCGCUGCUUGCUCAAUGACUUGAUGCGGGAUGCCCGGCGUGAGAAAAGUCGGGGGCAGAUAGUUGUACCUCCAUGACUGGCUUCACAAACUUCAGGAAGACAGGAAGGCCCAAUUCUCAGAAAACGAAACUUAGUAAAUACUUCCUGAAAUUAAUGGUCUCCUACUUCCUUGUGUGACCACUUCCUCUGAGACGCGUAGUCCCGGACUUCUGGGAUGCACCAAUAAAACGCUCAAAUUUAGGUAACUGACAUAUAAAGAAUAAAAGAACUAGCAUACAUGCGUAA